UACAGAGGGUGCGAGCGUUAAUCGGAAUUACUGGGCGUAAAGCGCGCGUAGGCGGUUUUGUAAGUCGGGUGUGAAAUCCCCAGGCUCAACCUGGGAACUGCAUUCGAGACUGCAUAGCUAGAGUAUGGGAGAGGGAAGUGGAAUUUCAGGUGUAGCGGUGAAAUGCGUAGAUAUGUGGAGGAACACCUGUGGCGAAGGCGCCUUGCUGGCCAAUUUCUGACGCUGAGGCGCGAAAGCGUGGGGAGCAAACAGG
rnacentral:rRNA from 1 species